rnacentral:rRNA from 1 species
AGAGUUUGAUCCUGGCUCAGGACGAACGCUGGCGGCGUGCUUAACACAUGCAAGUCGAGCGGAAAGGCCCUUCGGGGUACUCGAGCGGCGAACGGGUGAGUAACACGUGGGCAAUCUGCCCCUCGCUCUGGGAUAACUCCGGGAAACCGGGGCUAAUACCGGAUAUGACCACUUUAGGCAUCUUUGGUGGUGGAAAGUUUUUCGGCGAGGGAUGAGCCCGCGGCCUAUCAGCUUGUUGGUGGGGUAAUGGCCUACCAAGGCAGUGACGGGUAGCCGGCCUGAGAGGGCGACCGGCCACACUGGGACUGAGACACGGCCCAGACUCCUACGGGAGGCAGCAGUGGGGAAUAUUGCGCAAUGGGCGAAAGCCUGACGCAGCGACGCCGCGUGAGGGAUGACGGCCUUCGGGUUGUAAACCUCUUUCAGCAGGGACGAAGCGCAAGUGACGGUACCUGCAGAAGAAGCACCGGCCAACUACGUGCCAGCAGCCGCGGUAAUACGUAGGGUGCAAGCGUUGUCCGGAAUUAUUGGGCGUAAAGAGCUCGUAGGCGGCUUGUCACGUCGACUGUGAAAACCCGGGGCUCAACUCCGGGCCUGCAGUCGAUACGGGCUGGCUUGAGUGCGGUAGGGGAGACUGGAAUUCCUGGUGUAGCGGUGAAAUGCGCAGAUAUCAGGAGGAACACCGGUGGCGAAGGCGGGUCUCUGGGCCGUAACUGACGCUGAGGAGCGAAAGCGUGGGGAGCGAACAGGAUUAGAUACCCUGGUAGUCCACGCCGUAAACGUUGGGCGCUAGGUGUGGGACCCUAUCCACGGGUUCCGUGCCGCAGCUAACGCAUUAAGCGCCCCGCCUGGGGAGUACGGCCGCAAGGCUAAAACUCAAAGGAAUUGAUGG